rnacentral:rRNA from 1 species
GUGGGGAAUAUUGGGCAAUGGGCGCAAGCCUGACCCAGCAACGCCGCGUGAAGGAAGAAGGCUUUCGGGUUGUAAACUUCUUUUACCAGGGACGAAAAAAAUGACGGUACCUGGAGAAUAAGCCACGGCUAACUACGUGCCAGCAGCCGCGGUAAUACGUAGGUGGCAAGCGUUGUCCGGAUUUACUGGGUGUAAAGGGCGCGUAGGCGGGAGAGCAAGUCAGGAGUGAAAUCUAUGGGCUUAACCCAUAAAUUGCUUUUGAAACUGUUUGUCUUGAGUGAUGGAGAGGCAAGCGGAAUUCCUAGUGUAGCGGUGAAAUGCGUAGAUAUUAGGAGGAACACCAGUGGCGAAGGCGGCUUGCUGGACAUUAACUGACGCUGAUGCGCGAAAGCGUGGGGAGCAAACAGGAUUAGAAACCCUGGUAGUCC